AAGUCGUAACAAGGUUUCCGUAGGUGAACCUGCGGAAGGAUCAUUAAUGAGUCUUUGAAGUGGGUUUGAUGCUGGUCUUUCGAGGCAUGUGCUCGCCCUAUUCUCAUCCACUCACACCUGUGCACCUUACGUUUAAGAAGUGGUUGUUGCCUCCCUUCGGGUUGGCAAGUUAGGGAAACCUAGCUAUGGCCCUUCUUUGCGUUACUUUACACAAACUCUUGAAUGUCAUAGAAUGUAUAUUGGCCUACGGGCUUUAAUUUAAAUACAACUUUCAACAACGGAUCUCUUGGCUCUC
rnacentral:misc_RNA from 1 species